rnacentral:rRNA from 1 species
AAUAGAUACCCGGGUAGUCCACGCCGUAAACGAUGAGUGCUAAGUGUUAGGGGGGUUCCACCCCUUAGUGCUGCAGCUAACGCAUUAAGCACUCCGCCUGGGGAGUACGGUCGCAAGACUGAAACUCAAAGGAAUUGACGGGGGCCCGCACAAGCGGUGGAGCAUGUGGUUUAAUUCGAAGCAACGCGAAGAACCUUACCAGGUCUUGGCAUCCCGCUGACCGCCAUGGAGACAUGGCCUUCCCUUCGGGGACAGCGGUGACAGGUGGUGCAUGGUUGUCGUCAGCUCGUGUCGUGAGAUGUUGGGUUAAGUCCCGCAACGAGCGCAACCCUUGUCCUUAGUUGCCAUCAUUCAGUUGGGCACUCUAAGGAGACUGCCGUACAAAUACGGAGGAAGGUGGGGAUGACGUCAAAUCAUCAUGCCCCUUAUGACCUGGGCUACACACGUGCUACAAUGGGUGGUACAGAGGGCGGCGAACCCGCGAGGGGGAGCGAAUCCCAAAAAGCCACUCUCAGUUCGGAUUGCAGGCUGCAACG